rnacentral:pre_miRNA from 1 species
UCUUAUGGAGGAGCAAAAAAAGUGGUUUUUUGAGAUGGGAUCAAUUCUUGGUGAAGAUUCUGUGAA